AAUAAACGCUGGCGGCGUGCCCAACACAUGCAAGUCGAACGAGAACGCCCGGCUUCGGCUGGGCUAGUAAAGUGGCGCACGGGUGAGUAACGCGUAGGUAACCUGCCCCUGUGUUCGGGAUAACAGUGCGAAAGCGCUGCUAAUACCGGAUGUGGCCAUAUGACGGUGGUUAUAUGGUCAAAGUCGGCCUCUCAAAGAAGCCGGCGCGCGGGGAUGGGCCUGCGUCCUAUCAGCUUGUUGGUAGGGUAACGGCCUACCAAGGCUUCGACGGGUAGCUGGUCUGAGAGGAUGAUCAGCCACACUGGCACUGAAAUACGGGCCAGACUCCUACGGGAGGCAGCAGUGAGGAAUUUUGCGCAAUGGCCGUAAGGCUGACGCAGCAACGCCGCGUGGGUGAAGAAGGCCUUCGGGUCGUAAAGCCCUGUCAGGUGGGAAGAAUGUCCGGGGGAUGAAUAAGCUCUCGGAGUGACGGUACCACCAGAGGAAGCACCGGCUAACUCCGUGUUAGCAGUUGUGGUAAUACGGAGGGUGCAAGCGUUAUUCGGAAUUACUGGGCGUAAAGCGCGUGCAGGCGGGUAUGCAAGUCUGAUGUGAAAGCCCCGGGUUUAACCUGGGAAGUGCAUUGGAAACUGCAUAUCUUGAGUACUGGAGAGGAUGGGGGAAUUCCCGGUGUAGAGGUGAAAUUCGUAGAGAUCGGGAGGAAUACCAGUGGCGAAGGCGCCCAUCUGGACGGUAACUGACGCUGAGACGCGAAAGCGUGGGGAGUAAACAGGAUUAGAUAUCCUGGUAGUCCACGCUGUAAACGAUGAGCACUAGGUGUAGCGGGUAUUUAUUCCUGCUGUGCCGCAGCUAAUGCGUUAAGUGCUCCGCCUGGGGAUUACGGUCGCAAGACUA
rnacentral:rRNA from 1 species